UUCAAGUACUCUGGAAGAAAAAAAAAUACGUAAGUAAAUGGUCAAUUAUUUGGCACAAAUCGGAGUUAAAGACAAAGGAGAUUGUAUAUUUUAUUUGCUAAGAAUAGUUUUUUAAAAUGGCCUAGUUGUAAA